GGUUCUUUAAAUAUGGCAGAGCCAAACCGCUGCACCCCUGAGGUGGCCAUUUUGUAGCUGCACCUCCCUUCCCUUCCAGCCGAACACUGUUCUUGCCUCGUGUAACCGGAUCCACACACUGGAGCAUGGAGGCAGCCGAAAGAUAAAGUGUCAGGAGCCAGCUGUUUUGAACGAGAAGAACCACCAGACAGGUGGUCCCCAUAUGAGAUGGCUGUUGUCCAGGAAAGCAGCACUGACCACAAUGCUGUUAACACAAAUCUCAAGUCAGCAAAGCCCCCCCAGCAUUUAACCUCCUCUUUAGAUCCUUCUGCACUGAAGUGGCUGCUUGACAGCUCCCAGGACAAGUGUCCCGCCACUAGCUAUCCCAGAAGACAGAAGCCCUAACCGAGGAUUUGGAGCCAAGGUGGAAAGGAAAUGAAUUAACAAGGGACAGAGAGAGGCCUCCAACCAUGGUACACAGCCGAUUUCCCAGCUCCCCAGGCGCAGCGAGAACGUUUAGGCACUAAUCUUUUUACAGAUACUCUUGAGCAGUGGAAUUUCCAGGUGCGUGUGUUUUCAGGGCAAAAGCAGCCCCGGUAAA